rnacentral:rRNA from 1 species
GACGAACGCUGACGGCGUGCUUUAGACAUGCAAGUCGAACGAGAAAGCCCUUCGGGGUGAGUAAAGUGGCGAACGGGUGAGUAACACGUGGGCAAUCUGCCCUUCGUUGGGGGACAACCGGGGGAAACCCCGGCUAAUACCCCGUAAGCUUGUCGGGUCGCAUGGCCUGACAAGGAGAGGUAGCUUCGGCCAUCCGGCGAAGGAGGAGCCCGCGGUACAUUAGCUAGUUGGUGAGGUAAAGGCUCACCAAGGCUACGAUGUAUAGCUGGUCUGAGAGGAUGAUCAGCCACACUGGGACUGAGACACGGCCCAGACUCCUACGGGAGGCAGCAGUCGGGAAUCUUGCGCAAUGGGCGAAAGCCUGACGCAGCGACGCCGCGUGAGGGAAGAAGGCCUUCGGGUUGUAAACCUCUUUCAGGAGGGACGAGGCCACUCGGGUUAAUAGCCCAGAGGGUGACGGUACCUCCAGAAGAAGCCCCGGCUAACUACGUGCCAGCAGCCGCAGUAAUAC